GAGAGGAGAGAGAGAGAGAGAGAGAGAGAGAGAGAGAGAGACAAAGACAGAGACCGACAGAGACAGAGACAGAGACAGAGACAGAGACAGAGACAGAGACAGAGACAGAGACAGAGAGAUGGAAGGACCAGGACAACUGGAGAACGGAGCAGUGCUCGGCCAAUCUCGGGCACUGGGUAUAGGGCCACACCAGAUGCUAAUGCAAAAGCUGAGUCCUCAGUGAAAGGAUGGACUUUUCAUUUUAUGUGGUAGAAAUAACCAUUCAGAAAAAUAUCAGAUACACUGCCAGGGAAGGUACAAGUGAUAAUACAGCAUCCACCGCCCAAAUUCCAUCCCAGCCAUCAUCCGUCCCAUCCAUGUGACUUCUGGUUCUUCCCCAACAUCGAAAUGACCAUGAAAGGUAAAUAUUUUCAGUGGAUCCAGGCCAUCAAGGCAGCCAAGACACCAAGUCUGCUGACACUCAUGACAAAGGACUUCCAGGCCAGCUUCAGACAAAGAAAUAAUUAGAUUACUUGGAAAAGGAGAAUCAAGAGUAUCAAGCUCCUCAUGUAAAGAAGCAGGUUUUUGAAUAAAAGAAGCUUUAUUAAAGAAUGAUAUUCCUAGCAAUUUUCUUAUUCAAGAACAAAAGAUGGGAAUUUGGAGAUAUGCUAAAAUUACACCAUUUUCAUGUGUGGUGGCUCUCACCUGCAGUUCCAUCUACUUGAGAAGCAAGGAGAAAGAAUCAAAAGCUUAAGGCCACCUUGAGCAACACAGCAAGACACUCAUCUCAAACAAACAAAACAAAAAAUAAAUUGUAUUUCACAACAGCGAGGAAAAAAACAGGAAAUAUGGGAAAACAUUGGUUGUCAAUUUGUAAUAAAAAUAAGUCACUGCAUUUCAUUGCUUCCAGGAAUACUUGUCAUAUGUUAACUUUUCCAGAAUCAGUCUGUAUUAUAAGCUAUCAACAGAGGCCCAUAGUUUAAUUGCAGGCAUUUUUUCCUUCUUAAAGGUAUGUAUGUUAAAGUAAUAAUUUUCAAACUUUAGACUAGUAACAUGGUAACUCCCUCUUGAACACAGUGUAGGAAAAUUAAUUCCAGGAAAUACAUAGAACCAAGUGUUUACCCGCACGUCCAUAUACCCAGGCACACACGUAACAGCAGCAGAUGUGGAAGCACAAGAGCUCUUGUUUUAUCAUUAAAGAAUCUGGA